AGGGAAUCUUCCGCAAUGGACGAAAGUCUGACGGAGCAACGCCGCGUGAGUGAAGAAGGCCUUCGGGUCGUAAAACUCUGUUGCCGGGGAAGAACAAGUGCCGUUCGAACAGGGCGGUGCCUUGACGGUACCCGGCCAGAAAGCCACGGCUAACUACGUGCCAGCAGCCGCGGUAAUACGUAGGUGGCAAGCGUUGUCCGGAAUUAUUGGGCGUAAAGCGCGCGCGCAGGCGGCUUCUUAAGUCUGAUGUGAAAUCUUGCGGCUCAACCGCAAGCGGUCAUUGGAAACUGGGAGGCUUGAGUGCAGAAGAGGAGAGUGGAAUUCCACGUGUAGCGGUGAAAUGCGUAGAGAUGUGGAGGAACACCAGUGGCGAAGGCGGCUCUCUGGUCUGUAACUGACGCUGAGGCGCGAAAGCGUGGGGAGCAAAC
rnacentral:rRNA from 1 species